UCGGGAAUAUUGGACAAUGGGCGCAAGCCUGAUCCAGCCAUGCCGCGUGUGUGAUGAAGGCCCUAGGGUUGUAAAGCACUUUCAGUGGGGAAGAUAAUGACGGUACCCACAGAAGAAGCCCCGGCUAACUUCGUGCCAGCAGCCGCGGUAAUACGAAGGGGGCUAGCGUUGUUCGGAAUUACUGGGCGUAAAGCGCGCGUAGGCGGACUGGUCAGUUGGGGGUGAAAUCCCGGGGCUCAACCCCGGAACUGCCUCCAAUACUGCCAGUCUCGAGGUCGAGAGAGGUGAGUGGAAUUCCGAGUGUAGAGGUGAAAUUCGUAGAUAUUCGGAGGAACACCAGUGGCGAAGGCGGCUCACUGGCUCGAACCUGACGCUGAGGUGCGAAAGCGUGGGGAGCAAACAGGAUUAGAUACCCCCGUAGUCC
rnacentral:rRNA from 1 species